rnacentral:lncRNA from 1 species
AUGAUGAGAUUGAACCUCAAUAGGCAGCACAUCUAAUGCCAAGACUGGUCUUUGAUGUGUGAGUGCAUCUGGUGCAGAGGUGAAUACUGGGGCUUACCUGUCAUUGACAGGCAAAAGGGCAGUGCAGAACUUCCCAAUAAUGGUAGUCCGGUCUUUUUUCCAAACUCGGUUGGAAGACUGAAACUUGAAUUUCACUUGGUUUAUCUGGCAUUGUGGGGUGGCAUGGGCUAUGAUUCCUUUCCCAUAGCGUUGCUGCUUAGGUCUGCAAGAAAAGGGUAAAGGGAAAGUAAAUGACUGUAGCCCUUACCACCUGUACUUCCCCUUUGGCUCCGAUCGGGCUCUGCUGGUGGCACUGGUUGGCUGUCAUGCACCAAGGGGUUAGCUCCUUACCACAGUCCUUUGUGUCACCUUCACCAGCCCCUCUGCCCACACCUACAGCUUUGAAUAUGACCAAGAAAGUAGUUGUUGAUUUUUUAGAAUAAACAAGUGGACACUGCAACAAAAUAGUAGCUCCUGGAUUUUCAUAUCUGGAAAAACUGUUCCUCGUUCUUGGAUUCCUAGCUGGAGGAGAUCUUCACCUUCAGAUCUAAUUACCCAGAAGUAGAAACCCUCUUUUAGGACAUUCCUUUUCAAAGAAUUCUGUGUAAGGACUUUUCUGUUUUAGGCUAAGUAUGAAUGUGUGGGUGGAAACAGCAACAAGAAAACAUCAUGAAGCGCAGACAGAGUUGGGUGGAACCCAGGUUUGUCUUCCCAGCUGUAUGGCUUUGGACAAGUUACCUAAGCUGGCAAGGUGGCUGUGGAGUCACAUAGCAACUAGGUGUAAGUUCCAGCUUCCCUACAUGCUGCUAUGAACUUGAACCGUAGGGUUUGGUUCAUACUGACUUCAGCUGAGGAGACUCAGAGUGAAAAUGGCAUCCAGUUCUGUCUUAACCCAGCCUCUUGGCUUUGCCCCCCCAGAUUCCCUUUAUGUUUAAAGAUUCAGGCACCACUUUGGACUGAGACAAAGAUGAGGGAGGAGUAUGAAGUGAUCAACCUAGCAGGGUGCUUCCAAAAGGGCUGUGGUACCCCCUAGGUACUAGGUACUGGAGACAAAAGCAAAAAAUCGUGAGAUUCAAUGAGGAAAGUCUUCACGCUGAGUGCAAGGCACAGCCCAGCCAGCAGAUCCUGAGGGUGGUGAGUGGGGGAUCAAGGAGGGCGCCCAGCAGAGCUGCACCACCCAGCUAGGGAAGGAAUUUGACUUGUGGGGCCCUUUGUGAUCCUCCCUGGAAUCCAAGUGGGACUCUGAAAAAGAGGAAAGAAGGAGGGCGCUGCGUUCCUCUCGGCGGGGGCAGGGGUGGUGUGGGGAACCACCCUUGCCAACUGGGUUUCCUGUUCCUUUCUGGCCUUCGCAGAGUGGUGAUAGGGCCUCUUUGUGUUCUUUUUAGUCCAGUGUUAGUCAUAUCACUUGUUUUUUCCUUCUGAGGGAAGAUCAUGUAUAAUUUUGUUUAAAAACCAUUCCCUCUUUUUUUAAAUUCACAAGUCUUUUGAAAUAUUACAGAGGGAAUAAAUAAGAUUGUUUCCUUUAAGCUUAGACUGAAGAGUUUGUAAAAUACAAGGAAUAUGAAAAAUCUUUUAAGUGAGUGGUUUGGGGAGUUGGCCCAGGUUAAUUCUCCAAUUAGAAGGAAAUCUUAGCGUCGCAUAAAGCUAUAGAAAUUUGGAAAAAGACCACACAUAACCUCCCCGUUUUUCCCCCAAUUUCUGAUCUGCAAGAAGUGAAUCAUGUUCUGGUGCCUUCUUCAAAAGAGUUAUGUGAACCUCUUCAUGGAGGAGGAAGCGCUAAUCUGUGGAUGUUGACUGGAAUUACUCGGGGAGCUUUUAAAAUGUAGCUGUGGAGCCUAUGCCCAGAGACCCUGAUGUGAUUGGUCUGGGUUGGGGGGCUUGGCGUCAGUAUUUUUUAAAGCUCUCCAGGUGAUUCUAACGUGCAGUCAGGGUUGUGGGUCAUUUUCAUGACUCCUGCCAGUGUUGCUGGACCUACCAAUGGGCUAGAAGAUGAUGAAAACACCCUUCUAGAAGUAGCACAACCUUGAGCGGGUCUAAUGAAAGGUACUUGGCUUACUGAUAUCCAGCCACAAUCUGCAAGGCUCUGUGGGCACCUGCAGGCCUGUGCUGGAAUCCUGAUGGCUGUACCUAGCUGUGUGACUUUGGGUGAGCCAGAAGGAACACCAGCUAGUGGCCACGGUUUUGGGAGUGAAAUGCACUCCUUCCAGCAGAAACUUGUAGUGCCUCACAGCAGAGUUCAUGUCCAACAUCCCAACCCGAGAAAUAUCUCCAAACUCACAUCUGAUCUCAUCACUGUCCUGUUUAAAACUCCCAGUGGCUCUCCAAACUACUCUCAGGAUAAAAACCUGUCCUUCAAGGCCUGGCAGGGUCUGGCUCUGACUUGCCUCUCCAGCCUCACAGCAUCCCCACAACCCCAAAUCUGUGCUCCAGACACACCAGAGGUGUCACAUUCUCUCUAAGCCUGGCCUGGGUAGCUCCUGGAAAGCCUGCUCAUCAUUUCCUUGGACUCAGUCAGACUCUGUCUUCUAUGCUGUCACUCUCAGGGCAUUGCUCACUCAUUUAAGUGUGUGUGCACUGGUCAUUUCCCUGUUUGCUCUGGACUGAUCUAUUCCCCUGCAGGUUCCCCCACCAACAGGUUCCAGUGAGGUCUAACCCAGUGGAAGCAUGCUCAGGUGGGUGGCUGCUUUGGGCAGGG